ensembl:lncRNA
GCUGGGAGAUGUUCCUGCCAAAGCUGCCAAGGGUCUGAUGGAAGGGGGCCUGGCCCGGGAAGGCUCCCCGAAGUUGCUCUGAGCGAUCCUGGAUGCUGCAUGGCUUCAGUCCCUGAGGCCUCUCUGGCCACUAAGAGGAAACAAACCACUGCCAGUGUUUUCACAGAAUGCUGGAAUCUCAGGUCUGGGUGAGACCUUGGCAUUGGUCCAGUCCAACCCCCCAGAGCUGGCACGCCCUCUGGAGGUCUCAUCCAACCCCUGCCAGACACCUUGGUGUUUCAUUAAAGGAAAUGAUAGAUGGAAAUGAUCGACCAUUGGCAGGGAUUUGCUGCUGCUGCUGCUGCUAAGUCGCUUCAGUCGUGUCUGACUCUGUGCGACCCCAGAGACGGCAGCCCACCAGGCUCCGCCAUCCCUGGGAUUCUCCAGGCAAGAACACUGGAGUGGGUCGCCAUUUCCUUCUCCAAUGCAUGAAAGUGUAAAGGGAAAGUCAAGUUGCUCAGUCGUGUCCGACUCCCAGCGACCCCAUGUACUGCAGCCCAGCAGGCUCCUCCAUCCAUGGGAUUUUCCAGGCAAGAGUACUGGAGUGGGGUGCCAUUAUGACUACAUAAAGGCAAGGUCUGGGAGGACUUGUUCAUGCCAUAUCCCCAGUGCCUAGCAUGGUGUUUGGUUCAUUGCACCAAUUGAAAUGGGCUUCCAAGGCUCUCUCCUUCUGCUGUGGCCUGAAUAUUUGUGUCCCCUAAAUUCAUAUGUUUAAAACCUAAUCCCCAAUGUGAUGGUAUUUGGACACAGGGCUUUGGAGAGGUACUUACG